rnacentral:rRNA from 1 species
AACGAACGCUGGCGGCGUGCUUAACACAUGCAAGUCGAACGGGUUUAUUGGAUGUAGCAAUACAUUCAAUAGAUUAGUGGCGCACGGGUGAGUAACACGUAGGCAACCUACCCUUCAGUGGGGGACAACAGAGGGAAACUUCUGCUAAUACCGCAUACGGCCUAGCGGGAGCUAGAAGAAAGGGACGCGAGUCCCGCUGAAAGAGGAGCCUGCGGCCGAUUAGCUAGUUGGUGAGGUAACGGCCCACCAAGGCGAUGAUCGGUAGCUGGUCUGAGAGGACGAUCAGCCACACUGGAACUGGGACACGGUCCAGACUCCUACGGGAGGCAGCAGUAAGGAAUAUUGCACAAUGGGGGAAACCCUGAUGCAGCAACGCCGCGUGAGUGACGAAGGCCUUCGG